CUUCACAAAGUCCGCUGACUUGACUAUCAGUUGUCCGACUUCCAUUUUUGUGGAAGCCGCGGUGGCUGAGCCAGUUAGGCGUCUGACUUGCAAUUGGCGAUUACUCUGAGAGUGUGGGUUCGAAUCUCGGAUGGGACUCAACCCAACAAAAGUACUAGAAUC